rnacentral:rRNA from 1 species
AUUGUGCCAGCAGCCGCGGUAAUACGAGGGCUCCAAGCGUUAUCCGGAUUUAUUGGGCGUAAAGGGUGCGUAGGAUGAUAGGUAAGUUCAAUGUUAAAUCUCGGGGCUCAACUUCGAGGCCGCAUUGAAUACUGCCAAUCUAGAGUGUGGGAGAGGUUGAUGGAACUCACGGUGUAGGGGUGAAAUCCGUUGAUAUCGUGGGGAACACCAAAGGCGAAGGCAUUCAACUGGCCCGCUACUGACUCUGAUGCACGAAAGCGUGGGGAGCAAAAAGGAUUAGAUACCCUUGUAGUCCACGCCCUAAACGAUGUCUACUGGCUAUUUCGAGUAUCGACCCUCGGAGUGGCGAAGCUAACGCGUUAAGUAGACCGCCUGGGAAGUACGGCCGCAAGGCUAAAACUCAAAGGAAUAGACGGGGACUCGCACAAGCGGUGGAGCAUGAGGUUCAAUUCGACAAUAAGCGAGGAACCUUACCAGGGCUUGAAAUCCAGACGAAAGCUUGCCGAAAGGCGAGCCUUCUCUCAAGGACGGCUGGACAGGUGCUGCAUGGUUGUCGUCAGCUCGUGUUUUGAAAUGUUCCCUUAAGUGGGGUAACGAGCGCAACCCUUACCUGAUGUUAUAUGUGUCAUCGGGAACUGCCCUCAUUUUGGGGGAGGAAGGAGAGGAUGACGUCAAAUCAGCAUGGCCCUCUGAUGCCCUGGGCUACACUCGUGCUACAAUGGUUGGUACAAAGGGUUGCCAAGUCGCAAGACGGAGCUAAUCCCUUAAAACCGACCCCAGUUCAGAUUGGAGGCUGAAACUCGC